AAUCAACGCUGGCGGCGUGCCUAACACAUGCAAGUCGAACGAGAAAGGGACUUCGGUCCUGAGUACAGUGGCGCACGGGUGAGUAACACGUGACUAACCUACCCUUGAGUGGGGAAUAACUUCGAGAAAUCGAGGCUAAUACCGCAUAACACCUACGGGUCAAAGGAGCAAUUCGCUUAAGGAGGGGGUCGCGGCAGAUUAGUUAGUUGGCGGGGUAAGUGGCCCACCAAGACAGUGAUCNGUAUCCGGCCUGAGAGGGCGCACGGACACACUGGAACUGAAACACGGUCCAGACUCCUACGGGAGGCAGCAGUGGGGAAUUUUGUCGGCAAUGGGGGAAACCCUGACGCAGCAACGCCGCGUGGAGGAUGAAGUCUCUUGGGACGUAAACUCCUUUCGACCGGGACGAUAAUGACGGUACCGGAAGAAGAAGCCCCGGCUAACUUCGUGCCAGCCGCCGCUGU
rnacentral:rRNA from 1 species